rnacentral:lncRNA from 1 species
CCUGAAUUCAAAGUUGCAAUUUGCAAACAGUUCCGAAUUGCUCAAUGAAUCCUGAAUUCAGCGUAAUAAACACGAACAACACCAAAUCAUCACUUCGUGAAGUCGAAUUCCUCAAUUUCUUCAAAAACCAGAAGUCAAACACGAAGAAUCGAACGAAUUCAAGCACAAAUUCAAUUCCAGCAGCGUCGAACGAUUCACAGAAACACACAACGCUAAUUCAAACACGAAACCGAUGCAAUUCGAGCAAUAAAUCCUACGAACUUGAGAAAUACCAAUUCGGGAACACCGCAUCAACAAUCGCAAAUCACUUUCGAUUUCAAUUCGAAAUCAGCAGAAAAACAUGAAGCAGAUCGAAAACAGUGAGAAACGCGAACCACGAUUCUCCACUAUCAAGAAAUCGAGCCACGUGAACGUAAAACCUCACACAAAAUCGCAGAGAAAUUCAAUUCCUCAAUCGAUAUUCUAACCGCAAG